AAAGACUGACGCUCAUGCACGAAAGCGUGGGGAUCAAACAGGAUUAGAUACCCUGGUAGUCCACGCUGUAAACGAUGAUCAUUCGUUGUUGGCGAUAUACUGUCAGCGACUGAGCGAAAGCAUUAAGUGAUCCACCUGGGGAGUACGGCGGCAACGUUGAAACUCAAAGGAAUUGACGGGGGCCCGCACAAGCGGAGGAGCAUGUGGUUUAAUUCGAUGAUACGCGAGGAACCUUACCUGGGCUUAAAUGCAGGACGACGUUUCGUGAAAGCUGAAUUUCCUUCGGGACGUCUUGCAAGGUGCUGCAUGGUUGUCGUCAGCUCGUGCCGUGAGGUGUCGGGUUAAGUCCCAUAACGAGCGCAACCCUUAUCAUUAGUUGCCAUCAGGUCAUGCUGGGAACUCUAAUGAAACUGCCUACGCAAGUAGUGAGGAAGGUGGGGAUGACGUCAAAUCAGCACGGCCCUUAUGUCCAGGGCGACACACGUGCUACAAUGGCCAGUACAGAGGGUUGCAAA
rnacentral:rRNA from 1 species